UAACCCGACCAGGACGACGAAGCCUCAGUCUUACUUCCGAUCUCCUUACUCUCUCUCUCUCUCUCUCUCUAUCCCUUUUUUUCCAAAAAUGGAAACCCUAGUUUCCCCCAAGUUUUUUCUAGGAUUUUCUUCCACUUCAAGGAGGGUUUCUGAUAACCCCUUCCUAAUUCAAAGGUCAUCUCUCCUUGCUCUAUGUGGAAAGAGGAGGGUUACUGGUUGUAGAACCAGAGUUAUUGUGGGAGCCCUUGGUCAUGGUAAUGGAGGUUCCAGAAAACCUUAUAAAUUCAAAAUGGAUUCUUUUGCAAGCAUUUCGUCAUCAAGUACUCGUGAAGAGGCAACUUCAAUUGGAGUUAACCCACCUUUUACAGCGCCUCCCCCUCCAUCCUAUGUGGGCUCACCUCUUUUUUGGAUUGGAGUCGGCGUUGGGAUCUCAGCUUUGUUCUCAUGGGUUGCAACUAAUUUAAAGAAAUAUGCAAUGCAGCAAGCUUUUAAGACAAUGAUGGGGCAAAUGUCAUCUAAUAAUAGUCAAUUUAGUGGUGCUGGUUUCCCUCCAGGACCACCUUUUCCAUUUCCUCCAACCAGUCCAUCAGGUACCCCUGCUGCACCACCCACUCCUUUUGCCUCAAAAUCUGCGGUAACAGUUGAUGUCACUGCAAGUGAUGUGGCACCAGCAUCAUCGACGGUUGAAGUCAAGGAAGAUACUAAAACUAAGAAGCAAACCAAGACAUUUGAAUUUGUGGAUAUUUCUCCAGAAGAGGUGAUGCAAAACCGUCCUUCUGAACAGCCAAAGGAGUCAACCGAUGGAAGUCCUGCAAAGGAUGUCCAUUUUGCAGAAGUUUCUCAAAAUGGAGCUCUCCCUCAAACUGAGAAAAGUGUCAGUACUGAGAAUGUUCAAUCAUCUCGACCUGCUGAUUCUGUCUUAUCAGUGGAGGCCUUGGAGAAAAUGAUGGAAGACCCUACAGUCCAGAAGAUGGUUUAUCCCUAUUUACCAGAGGAGAUGAGGAACCCUGCAACAUUUAAAUGGAUGUUGCAGAAUCCACAAUAUCGACAACAAUUGGAAGAUAUGUUAAAUAACAUGGGGGGAAGCAGUGAUUGGGACAAUCGUAUGAUGGACUCUCUGAAAAAUUUCGACCUUAGCAAACCUGAGGUCAAGCAACAGUUUGAUCAAAUUGGGCUCACACCUGAAGAAGUUAUUUCAAAAAUUAUGGCAAAUCCAGAUGUUGCCAUGGCAUUUCAGAACCCGAAAGUGCAAGCUGCCAUUAUGGAUUGCUCUCAGAACCCACUGAGCAUUACGAAAUAUCAAAAUGAUAAGGAGGUAAUGGAUGUGUUCAACAAAAUCUCUGAACUGUUUCCUGGGGUGACGGGUCCACCAUGAGUCCAUUGAUACAGCUGGGGGUAUCGGAUUAUAUGUAUUUAAUAGCCAAUUUUGUAGUUCGUGUUGGUAUUGGGUCUUUUUUGAAAGUGAGCUCACUAGUCUUCUCGUGCAUCUGAUCAUGUGAAGAUCUGGGCCCUGAGCAACAUAAUCUCCUGUGGUGAUCAGUUAUUUAGUAAUCAGCAUGAUUGUUUGUGUGCAUCCGGUGAUCAAUGGCUCCGCAGAGAAGUUUUUGAUAUGCCCUACUGACCCAUCCAAUGGUGGUUGGCAUCCCUCAUGGUGUAUAUGGAUGUUUAUGAAUCCCCCUCCCCUCUCAAUCUCUCUCUGUGUUUGUGGGUGCAUAUACGUUUGUCAAGAACUUCAAUGGUGAAUAAGCGAUUCCAAGGACGAUUGAUGCUGCUAUGUACUCUUUAAGUUACAAAAAUGUCUCAGGAACCGCAACUUUUACCCUUUUAAGUAACUGGGCAUGUUUACAGAUGCCGCAUUACCUUAAAGAAGGUUUUAUUUAGUUUGAUUGAAAGGACAAUUGAAACUGCUAUUUAUUAGUUUUAUAAAUGCCACAAAAGCCCUAACGUUUGCUCUCGUUAA